GCUGCGGUAGCUCAGUGGUAGAGCACUCCAUUGGUAAUGGAGAGGUCGAGAGUUCAAUCUCUCUCGCAGCACCA
rnacentral:tRNA from 1 species